rnacentral:rRNA from 1 species
UGCAAGUCGAGGGGUAACGGAAGUAGCUUGCUACUAGACGACGACCGGCGCACGGGUGAGUAACGCGUAUGUAAUCUGCCUUGUACAGAGGGAUAGCCCAGAGAAAUUUGGAUUAAUACCUCAUAGUAUUACUGAAUCGCAUGAUUCGGUAAUUAAAGCUCCGGCGGUACAAGAUGAACAUGCGUGACAUUAGCUAGUUGGUAAGGUAACGGCUUACCAAGGCAACGAUGUCUAGGGGUUCUGAGGGGAUGAUCCCCCACACUGGUACUGAGACACGGACCAGACUCCUACGGGAGGCAGCAGUGAGGAAUAUUGGUCAAUGGACGCAAGUCUGAACCAGCCAUCCCGCGUGAAGGAUGACUGCCCUAUGGGUUGUAAACUUCUUUUAUAUGCAAAUAAACCUACUUUCGUGAAAGUAGCUGAAGGUAGCAUAUGAAUAAACACCGGCUAACUCCGUGCCAGCAGCCGCGGUAAUACGGAGGGUGUAAGCGUUAUCCGGAUUUAUUGG